GAUAGCUCAUUCAUAAGGUUGUUUACUGCUAGCAUGCUUAGUGGGGAGAAACCUACCCAAACAUUGCCCCCCUGCUACGAAAAGUACUACUGCAAAGCCAUGUAUGAAAACAACAGAUGGGGUGGGACAAUUCAAGGAUUUUGUUGAGAUUGGAAGAUAUUGAGAGAAAAUUGAAGGAAGAUUGGGAUCAUGUGUAAAGGUGGAACUGUCUCUCAAAUAAAGAGCAGUGUUUCGAAGGAACUGCUAGAAACUGUUACAAGAUGCUUUGUUGAUGUUCAAGCUCUACAAAAUCAUGACAUCCCAAGGUUUCCGGUGAAGGCAUUUCAUGGAUGGUAUCUGUAGUUGAAGACUUUCGAAUUGCACAUAUAAAGCUAAAGGUGCUAUUGGAAUCUUUUUACCGCUUGUAAUUCUCACAAAAUCCUCUCUUCAAAGUAAGUGUUGGUUAUAGAAUUUAAUUAAUUUUUGCAAAGAGUUUGGGCUGUAAUCUACAAUCAGGAAAGCGUACUGUUAGACUUAUUGGAGUCUUACAUAAAUUUGUAGGCUCAAUUUUUUUGACUUUUCAAAUAAUAAUUGUUAUGACAAUGAGAAUCUUAAGUUUUUCUUUAUGAGACAUUAAAGGUUUCCUCCAAUGUCAAGCUUACUCUUUUGAGUCCUUUGGAUGCUAAGUGUGAAAAGAAUGCAUAUGAGGGUGUGUUGCAACAAAUCCCAAGAAAUUAGUGAGCGUAUUGGAUUCUCUUUUUCCGAAUCUAGAUAUGAUUCACUUCCUCGUGAGGAUGUUAAUGCAAAACACCUAAUUUGUUGAAGGAUCUGGGAAAUUUUGACUGGAAAAUUACAAGUGACACCAGGAAACUUGUCUAUCACACUUUAAUCAAAUUGCUCGAGGUAUUUUCUUGGGAACCAAUACUAUGCCAUGAUAAUGUAGAUGUGGGAUGGUCUAGACUAUCAGAUAUGGAUGUUAACGAGGGAAAGCUUCUUGGAUGUUCAUACAAUCAAAGUUGUGUUGGCAUAUGGGUUGUGGACCUCUCUUGCAUUGAACCAUAUGCAAUUGCUAGUCCUAGAUUAAAUGAUCAUUCAGGCCAAAGUCUACAUCAGAUGGUAAUCCAUCUAUGCCAGCUGAUAACAUAAAGUCUAGUAUGAGGAGGUUAUCAAUAUUACAGAGUUUUGAAACAAAUUCUAAAGAGACAAAAUCAUUAUCAGCAACAGUCAUUGCUCCAGCCAGGUGCCCCUCAAAUAAUUGGGGCAUGUGCUAGCACGAUAGCACCUCUGACAGCACCACCAUCUGUAUCUUCCUUUGUAAAAAGAAGUUUAUCAAAAUUUCAGUCUACAUCUGACCUUCAGACUAGCAAAGCAGAUAUGGCACCUGUGAUUGUUCCAAGAACUAGCCCGAGGAUACACUUGCCCUCUGAUUUUACUAAAGACUUUGGGGUUGGUAAAACAAUGUCAUUUGAUAUCCAAUCAAAAUUUACUGAAUUUUGGAAGGUGUCAAACAUCAAAGAGAAUUUAGAUAAAACAGAUAUCCAUUCAGUCUGGGAGCAGUAGUAAUAUUGAACAAAAUGAAUUUCUGGGCCAGACUCCUAUUUCUUCUGGCAAUGCUGGAACUCAACAUGUGUCAGCUGAAGCAAAUAAUUUGGAUGGUGUUAAGAACUUGAUUAAAUAAAGGAUCAGGUCUAUCUAAUUCAUUCAAAGAGCCACAUUUGCACUUUGAUAAGGAAAAUUGGCACAAUUUCUGUUGUCGGCUUUUUGGCGUUUUAAAAAUAGUUGUUGGAACAUUGGUAGAACACAGUUUCUUAUUCCUUGGUGUUGGAGAGGUUUUACUCCUAAUCUCAAUUGGUUUAUUUGGUCUAUUGAAUGUGUUUAACACUUUAACUUUGAUUUUUUUUUCACUUGUGUAUUUUCUUGUGAACAUCUUAGUUUGCCAUUCUGGGAGUAUGAAUUCCUAUUUACUUAUGCUUCGUCCUUGUAUUUCAUAUUACAAAUCUUGUAAUGCAUAUAAUUAUAUGAGAAAUAGAUAUAGGAAGAUCAUGUCUAUUAGGAUUUUAUUUAUGAGGUGGGCUUCUGCUUUUUUAAAAAGAGGGUAGAAGAUAAUUUUUCCGAUUUUGUGGUUUGGAUAGAAAUCUACUGUUUGCCAUAAUUUCGCUAUGCUACUUAGUGUUAAGUGUACAUGUUACAUUUUAUGUGACUUUAAUUAUUGCACUAUGUAGGUACAUGUUUCAAGAGUAUUUUAACUAAUCUCAGUUAAAAUAUUUGUUCUGUUUAUACGAAUACUUCUUUAAAUCUUUUCCUUAUCUUGAUUAUCAAUACUGGCUGGUACCAUAGCUCUAGAGAUGUUAAAGCAGGUUUUGAACUUAGUCUUUUUAUUAUGUGCAUGAACAACGUUUUGGAUGUGAUGAUGAUAAUUUUAGAUAUUGGCAAAUUUUGGUUGUGGAUUUCUUAUGGUUGUUGUAGACAAAAGGUGCUCCAUUGGAAGAGACUCGCAAGAAGUUAUGAAUGGUCGAUUCUAAGGUAAGGAAGAGAAUCUUGGACCUUGGUUAUACUUAUUACAAGCAUACAACUUUUAAUUGUUUUACUUUGUUGUUCAUUGUUUGCAUUGUGAUACCCUUUAUGGGACUUAAUUAUGAGCUCACACAAGGAUUCCCUUCAACAUUUUAAGCAACCUUGGGCACAUGAUCAUGAACCUGUCAAUAAUCUUGUAGAUGUUAUCAAGGUAUUGCUGCCUCAAGUGCCAUUCUGGUUUCUUGGCAGGUGGUUUCAUGGGCUAAAUGUUUACUAUGCACUUGUAUAUUUUCUCUCUUACUAUGUGUGACUCUUAAGCUAUAUCAUUGUUGAUGAUAAGAAUGCUUUCUCCAA